GAACCUUACCUAAGCUUGACAUCCCAAUGACAUCUCCUUAAUCGGAGAGUUCCCUUCGGGGACAUUGGUGACAGGUGGUGCAUGGUUGUCGUCAGCUCGUGUCGUGAGAUGUUGGGUUAAGUCCCGCAACGAGCGCAACCCUUGUCUUUAGUUGCCAUCAUUAAGUUGGGCACUCUAGAGAGACUGCCAGGGAUAACCUGGAGGAAGGUGGGGAUGACGUCAAAUCAUCAUGCCCCUUAUGCUUAGGGCUACACACGUGCUACAAUGGGUAGUACAGAGGGUUGCCAAGCCGUAAGGUGGAGCUAAUCCCUUAACGCUACUCUCAGUUCGGAUUGUAGGCUGAAACUCGCCUACAUGAAGCUGGCGUUACUAGUAAUAGCAGCACAACAUGC
rnacentral:rRNA from 1 species